rnacentral:lncRNA from 1 species
CGGGCUUUUGACAUAGAUUGUCAAGAUUGUUUCAAUUAUACACUUGCAGUUAUUGAGGCUGAGAGAGGUGAAGCACCUUGCCUAAGGUCAUACAGCCAGUGUUCGAGCCCAGGUUUGAGACUUAAAUACCUCUCUACUAAAAGGGAAAUGGAGAAAAAGAUGCUGACUGCCAGGCUGGUUUCGGAUCCUUUGUAUUCUGUCAGAUGAGAACACUUGUUUACCUUCCAGGACUGACCUGAGCAUGAGCCUUACAUGAACCGGACAUAGAAGAGCAUUCGGCCAGUGCUGGGUACUCCAAGGACAGCACUCGAGGUCUGAUCCCUGGGCAGAGCACAGUGUAGUCAGUGAUGUUUGUAGAGAUGGGAUCUCACCAUGUUGCCGAGGCUGAUCUGGAACUCCUGGCCUCAAGCAAUCCUCUCGCCUCAGCCUCCUGAGCUAGGAUCAAUCCAUUGUUGAAGAGUACAUGGAUGUUACUUUGCAGACUGUCAACCUGAAUUUGUGUUUGCUUGACAUUGCCUAAUUAUUAGUUUCAGUUUCAGCUUACCCAC